rnacentral:rRNA from 1 species
AAUCUAGNCGGUAACUCGCCGAAUGCAUCUUAGAUUUAAAGUUUGAUCAUGGCUCAGAUCNGAACGCUNGNGCGGCAGGCCUAACACAUGCAAGUCGAACGGUACAGGAAGCAGCUUGCUGCUUCGCUGACGAGUGGCGGACGGGUGAGUAAUGUCUGGGAAACUGCCUGAUGGAGGGGGAUAACUACUGGAAACGGUAGCUAAUACCGCAUAACGUCGCAAGACCAAAGAGGGGGACCUUCGGGCCUCUUGCCAUCGGAUGUGCCCAGAUGGGAUUAGCUAGUAGUGGGGUAACGGCUCACCUAGGCGACGAUCCCUAGCUGGUCUGAGAGGAUGACCAGCCACACUGGAACUGAGACACGGUCCAGACUCCUACGGGAGGCAGCAGUGGGGAAUAUUGCACAAUGGGCGCAAGCCUGAUGCAUGCCAUGCCGCGUGUAUGAAGAAGGCCUUCGGGUUGUAAAGUACUUUCAGGCGGGGGAGGGANAGGGUGUAUGAGGGUUAAUUAACCCUCAAGCACAAUUUGACGUUUAACC